rnacentral:misc_RNA from 1 species
AUGUCACCUAUGUUCGUGAGACGCACUCAAAGUCGGAUUUGUCCAGAUUUGUCCAAUCCGGUAUCUGCCGGUAUCAAAUAAACACCGACGGUGGAGACUGUAUUUGCCUCGUGUAGCGUGAAGUAUCGAAUAAAUGUUUAAUUUUCAUGGAUUUUCAGUGUUUAGAAGAAAAAACUCACAAUGAAUAUUAUAGAAUGGAAGAAACUAUUCCCCGAAAAUUGGAGCGCUGCAAUUUUCGUCUCCUAUAUGAUACUUUUUGUUAAUCAAGGGAUUUUAGUAAGGUGGUCGCAAGGAAAGGGAAGUACGUACGAAUAUAACACCGUUACAGUGGUUUUAUUAACUGAGGUUUUGAAAUUAGUUGUUUCCAUAAGUAUAUAUUGCCUUGGUAACGAUGUCAAAAACAUGUUUGUUGAAAUGGUCAAAUACAAAAAAGUAUUUUUAUUAUAUAUGAUCCCAUCCUUUCUGUAUUGUCUUUAUAACAAUCUGGCAUUUGUAAAUUUGGCUGUCUUCGAUCCUACCACUUAUUACCUAUUGUUGCAAUUCCGGGUUGUCAUCACAGGAAUUGUUUUUCAGAUGGUUUUUAAAAAGACACUCUCCACACGUCAAUGGAUUUCAUUGAUAUUAUUAACUGUUGGAUGCAUGGUGAAACAAUUUAAUGUAAACUUCCAAGUAUCAACUAUUGUGCCUGCUUUAGAAUUUAAUGUUAAUACAUUCUUCAUCUUUAUCCAGACUUUAUGCUCGUGCCUAGCUGGUGUUUACAAUGAAUACUUGCUAAAAGCCCAAGGAGCAAAUAUAAAUAUACUUCUUCAGAAUGCAUUCAUGUACACUGAUAGCGUCAUUUGCAACUUGGCAGUUCUAACUGCACAAGGUGACAUUCUUCAGAGCUUUGACAAUGUAGGACCCAGCAUAUUUUCCCGUCCUGAAGUUGUUUUGAUCAUGAUUAAUAAUGCAGCGAUAGGAAUCGUGACGAGCUUCUUCUUGAGGCACCUCAACUCGAUCUUAAAGACCUUUGCUAGUGCCUUAGAACUUGUCUUCACAGCGGUUCUGUGUUGGAUUAUUUUUGGCAUUCCAUUAGACGCAAACACAAUUAUUGCAAUUGCUAUAGUGAGUUACUCAAUAGUUCUGUACUCUCAAAGCCCAGUACAGAAUGUACAACAAAAUUCCGCAGUAGAGUUGGAUAUUCAAUCGGAGGACAGGAAGGUCCUUGUAUGAUCUGGUAACCUAAUAUUAAAGAUUUAUGCAGAGAUCUACGUGGUAAAAACUUAUGUUUUUGUAUCAUUUUGUUUACCAUUUUCAUCAUUGGACAAUGAACAGUUAUCUCAUGGGAGAGAUAAUGUAUCGUUCAAGGUUCCAUGCAGGAAUUAGGAUAUAAUAUCACAUUGUGUCCAGAUAACGGAUUGUUAAUUGAAAGUCCAUAAGAGAUUUAUAGCUAAUUUAUGUGCUUUAAACUCAGAAAAUGUACAACAAUCCAAUUGUCAUAUCACAAACUAUUACUCAAUUUAAUCAUCUCAAAAAGUGUUAAAGGCUCAAUGGUAAUUAGUUGUCUUCACCCAUACUUUGGUAUUAAAAUGUUAAUACAUAAUUAACCCUGUGAAGUCCUAAUACGCAAACAUUUUUUAAGUUAGAUGAACAAUUUGAGACAAUUCUUGUGCCAAUUCCAAAUGAAAUUGAUGUUAAUCAAUUAGCAUCGUUAAGCUAAGAAAAACAAUUUCAUAUGUACUUUUACGUAAUAUCAAAGUAAAUAAUAAGAUAAAAAGAAAGAUG